UGGGGGAUAUUGCACAAUGGGCGAAAGCCUGAUGCAGCGACGCCGCGUGGGGGAUGAAGGCCUUCGGGUUGUAAACUUCUUUUGCUCUGAACAAGGCGCACCAUGGGGUGUGUUGAGUGUAGGGGUUGAUUAGCGCCGGCUAACUACGUGCCAGCAGCCGCGGUAACACGUAGGGCGCGAGCGUUGUCCGGAAUUAUUGGGCGUAAAGGGCUUGUAGGUGGCUGGUUGCGUCUGUCGUGAAAGCUCAUGGCUUAACUGUGGGUUUGCGGUGGGUACGGGCUGGCUUGAGUGCAGUAGGGGAGGCUGGAAUUCCUGGUGUAGCGGUGGAAUGCGCAGAUAUCAGGAGGAAUACCGGUGGCGAAGGCGGGUCUCUGGGCUGUUACUGACACUGAGGAGCGAAAGCAUGGGGAGCGAACAGG
rnacentral:rRNA from 1 species